rnacentral:rRNA from 1 species
GAGUUUGAUCAUGGCUCAGAUUGAACGCUGGCGGCAUGCCUUACACAUGCAAGUCGAGCGGCAGCGCGGGGGCAACCCUGGCGGCGAGCGGCGAACGGGUGAGUAAUGCAUCGGAACGUGUCCUCUUGUGGGGGAUAACCAGUCGAAAGACUGGCUAAUACCGCAUGAGAUCGAGAGAUGAAAGCAGGGGACCGCAAGGCCUUGCGCGAGAGGAGCGGCCGAUGCCGGAUUAGCUAGUUGGUGGGGUAAAGGCCUACCAAGGCGACGAUCCGUAGCUGGUCUGAGAGGACGACCAGCCACACUGGGACUGAGACACGGCCCAGACUCCUACGGGAGGCAGCAGUGGGGAAUUUUGGACAAUGGGGGCAACCCUGAUCCAGCCAUGCCGCGUGUGUGAAGAAGGCC